rnacentral:rRNA from 1 species
CCUACGGGAGGCAGCAGUAGGGAAUCUUUCACAAUGGGCGAAAGCCUGAUGGAGCAACGCCGCGUGCAGGAUGAAGGCCUUCGGGUUGUAAACUGCUUUUAUAAGCGAGAAAUAUGAUGGUAACUUAUGAAUAAGGAUCGGCUAACUACGUGCCAGCAGCCGCGGUCAUACGUAGGAUCCGAGCAUUAUCCGGAGUGACUGGGUGUAAAGAGUUGUGUAGGUGGCAUAAAAAGUAGCUAGUGGAAACUGGUGGCCUAACCAUUCAGACUAUUAUCUAAACUGUUAAGCUCGAGACCGUUAGGGGUAACUGGAAUUUCUAGUGUAGGAGUGAAAUCCGUAGAUAUUAGAAGGAACACCAAUAGCGAAGGCAGGUUGCUGGGACGGUUCUGACACUGAGGCACGAAAGCGUAGGGAGCAAACGGGAUUAGAUACCCGUGUAGUC